AACGCUGACGGCGCGCUUAACACAUGCAAGUCGAGCGAGAACCGGGACUUCGGUCCCGGGGACAGCGGCGAACGGGUGAGUAACACGUGGGUAAUCUGCCCUCGGCACUGGGAUAGCCCGGGGAAACCCGGAUUAAUACCGGAUAGCCUUUCGAGCCUUCGGGCUCGUCAGAAAAGGUGGCUUCGGCUUCCGGCUGAGGAUGAGCCCGCGGCGGAUUAGCUUGUUGGUGGGGUAAUGGCCUACCAAGGCGACGAUCCGUAGCUGGUCUGAGAGGACGAUCAGCCACACUGGGACUGAGACACGGCCCAGACUCCUACGGGAGGCAGCAGUGGGGAAUCUUGCGCAAUGGGCGAAAGCCUGACGCAGCGACGCCGCGUGCGGGAAGAAGGCCUUCGGGUUGUAAACCGCUCUCAGGAGGGACGAAGCCACUCGGGUUAAUAGCCCAGAGGGUGACGGUACCUCCAGAAGAAGCCCGGCUAACUACGUGCCAGCCGCCGCCGUAAAAC
rnacentral:rRNA from 1 species